GUCCCUGUAGCGCAGUGGAUAGUGCGUUGGACUUCUAUUUCAAAGAUCGUGGGUUCGAAUUCCGUCUGGGAUG